rnacentral:rRNA from 1 species
ACGAACGCUGGCGGCGUGCUUAACACCUGCAAGUCGAACGGAAAGGCCCUGCUUUUGUGGGGUGCUCGAGUGGCGAACGGGUGAGUAACACGUGAGUAACCUGCCCUUGACUUUGGGAUAACUUCAGGAAACUGGGGCUAAUACCGGAUAGGAGCUCCUGCUGCAUGGUGGGGGUUGGAAAGUUUCGGCGGUUGGGGAUGGACUCGCGGCUUAUCAGCUUGUUGGUGGGGUAGUGGCUUACCAAGGCUUUGACGGGUAGCCGGCCUGAGAGGGUGACCGGCCACAUUGGGACUGAGAUACGGCCCAGACUCCUACGGGAGGCAGGAGGGGGGAAUAUUGCACAAUGGGCGGAAGCCGGAUGCAGCAACGCCGCGUGCGGGAGGACGGCCUUCGGGUUGUAAACCGAUUUCGCCUGUGACGAAGCGUGAGUGACGGUAAUGGGGAAAGAAGCACCGGCUAACUACGU